GACGGAGGAUGCAAGCGUUAUCCGGAAUCACUGGGCGUAAAGCGUCUGUAGGUGGUCAAAUAAGUCAACUGUUAAAUCUUGAGGCUCAACCUCAAAAUCGCAGUCGAAACUAUUAGACUAGAGUAUAGUAGGGGUAAAGGGAAUUUCCAGUGGAGCGGUGAAAUGCGUAGAGAUUGGAAAGAACACCGAUGGCGAAGGCACUUUACUGGGCUAUUACUAACACUCAGAGACGAAAGCUAGGGUAGCAAAUGGG
rnacentral:rRNA from 1 species